rnacentral:rRNA from 1 species
AGUGAACGCUGGCGGUAGGCCUAACACAUGCAAGUCGAACGGCAGCGCAGUAAGAGCUUGCUCUUACGGGUGGCGAGUGGCGGACGGGUGAGGAAUACAUCGGAAUCUACUUUUUCGUGGGGGAUAACGUAGGGAAACUUACGCUAAUACCGCAUACGACCUACGGGUGAAAGCAGGGGAUCUUCGGACCUUGCGCGAUUGAAUGAGCCGAUGUCGGAUUAGCUAGUUGGCGGGGUAAAGGCCCACCAAGGCGACGAUCCGUAGCUGGUCUGAGAGGAUGAUCAGCCACACUGGAACUGAGACACGGUCCAGACUCCUACGGGAGGCAGCAGUGGGGAAUAUUGGACAAUGGGCGCAAGCCUGAUCCAGCCAUACCGCGUGGGUGAUGAAGGCCUUCGGGUUGUAAAGCCCUUUUGUUGGGAAAGAAAAGCAGCAGGUUAAUACCCCGCUGUUCUGACGGUACCCAAAGAAUAAGCACCGGCUAACUUCGUG